AGCAGACAUCAAAUCUUGGAUGGAGCCUAACUUCCUAUGUCUGAAUGAAAUCAAGACAGAGGUGCUUGUUUUUGAAAAGACUGAUCUGCUAACAGGUUCCUGUAGUGCUGUUGGCCCCCUGGACCCUUCAGAUGCUUCUUUCAUUAGGAAUCUUUGGCUUGUUUUAUGCCAGCCAAACGAUUUCUCGCCAUACGGUUAUGGCGAUCCAACAGCGGAAGCGGUGGUGAGCGUGUUGCCUGCUUCCUUUUCACAAGGGACGUUUGGCGAGUGAUGUGAUGAGGGAGGGUUUCGCCUUUGAAGUCUAAAUAGUGUUGCGCCGUGUCUAAGAUCCUAUUACUUUUUGUUUCUUUUUGAGAGAUCUCAGACAGCUUGAGUGUCCGACCUGUCCUUAGCUCCAUUUGUCUCCCUUUUGGAAGCUCAGCUUGUUUUAUGCCAGCCAAACGAUUUCUCGCCAUACGGUUAUGGCGACCCAACAGCGGAAGCGGUGGUGAGCGUGUUGCCUGCCUCCUUUUCACAAGGGACGUUUGGCGAGUGAUGUGAUGAGGGAGGGUUUCGCCUUUGACGUCUAAAUAGUGUUGCGCCGUGUCUAAGAUCCUGUUACUUUUUCUUUCUUUUUGAGAGAUCUCAGACAGCUUGAGUGUCCGACCUGUCCUUAGCUCCAUUUGUCUCCCUUUUGGAAGCUCAGCUUGUUUUAUGCCAGCCAAACGAUUUCUCGCCAUACGGUUAUGGCGACCCAACAGCGGGAGCGGUGGUGAGCGUGUUGCCUGCCUCCUUUUCACAAGGGACGUUUGGCGAGUGAUGUGAUGAGGGAGGGUUUCGCCUUUGACGUCUAAAUAGUGUUGCGCCGUGUCUAAGAUCCUGUUACUUUUUCUUUCUUUUUGAGAGAUCUCAGACAGCUUGAGUGUCCGACCUGUCCUUAGCUCCAUUUUUCUCCCUUUUGGAAGCUCAGGUGGGUGAGGCUUUGCUUCAUUAAAUUGAAACUGGCCUUCACUGUGCAUUUCCUGAGCUUUCUCUCGUUUGGCCCUUUCAGCUUGUUUUAUGCCAGCCAAACGAUUUCUCGCCAUACGGUUAUGGCGACCCAACAGCGGGAGCGGUGGUGAGCGUGUUGCCUGCCUCCUUUUCACAAGGGACGUUUGGCGAGUGAUGUGAUGAGGGAGGGUUUCGCCUUUGACGUCUAAGUAGUGUUGCGCCGUGUCUAAGAUCCUGUUACUUUUUCUUUCUUUUUGAGAGAUCUCAGACAGCUUGAGUGUCCGACCUGUCCUUAGCUCCAUUUGUCUCCCUUUUGGAAGCUCAGCUUGCUUUAUGCCAGCCAAACGAUUUCUCGCCAUACGGUUAUGGCGAUCCAACAGCGGGAGCGGUGGUGAGCGUGUUGCCUGCCUCCUUUUCACAAGGGACGUUUGGCGAGUGAUAUGAUGAGGGAGGGUUUCGCCUUUGAAGUCCCAAUACGUUUGUGCCAUGUCUAAAAUCUCAGUUGUGUCCUUAUGCCUGAGACCUUGGUUCUUGAAACACACUUACAGAAGAACAUUUCAUGUAUUUGCAGAUUUCUAAGUACUAUGCAAAUGAUGUAAUUUAGUCAAAUAUGAUAUCAAAUGAUGUCACGGGGUUGUAUGUUGUAGUGUUGGGGACAUCAAAACAAGCAAUUAUGAAGUCACAGGGUUGUAUGUUGUGGUGGUGGUGACAUCAA